rnacentral:snRNA from 1 species
CGGACAAGGGGAAUCCGACU